rnacentral:rRNA from 1 species
AACCAGGCUGGUAGUAGUCAAGUGAUGGGGUGACGCAGGAAGGUAGCCCAACCGUGGCGAUGGUUGUCCACGGCCAAGCGUGUGAGACGAAUGGUAGGUAAAUCCGCUGUUCAUAUGUCUGAGGCGUGAUGGGGAGCCACAUGUGUGGUGUAGUGGGUGAUCCUAUGCUGUCGAGAAAAACCUCUAGCGAGUUACGCGCCGCCCGUACCCCAAACCGACUCAGGUGAUCAGGUAGAGAAUACUAAGGCGAUCGAGUGAACCAUGGUUAAGGAACUCGGCAAAAUGCCCCCGUAACUUCGGGAGAAGGGGGACCUGAUCCGUCAACCACACCCACCUGGUGGGGCGUGGGGUAGCGGUGAUGGUCGCAGAGACCAGGGGAAAGCGACUGUUUACUAAAAACACAGGUCCGUGCGAAGUUGUAAGACGAUGUAUACGGACUGACUCCUGCCCGGUGCUGGAAGGUUAAGAGGACCUGUCAACAUCCACUUGUGGGUGUGAAGCGGAGAAUUUAAGCCCCAGUAAACGGCGGUGGUAACUAUAACCAUCCUAAGGUAGCGAAAUUCCUUGUCGGGUAAGUUCCGACCUGCACGAAUGGAGUACGACUUUCCCGCUGUCUCAACCAUGGACUCGGCGAAAUUGCAGUACGAGUAAAGAUGCUCGUUACGCGCGGCAGGACGGAAAGACCCCGGGACCUUUACUAUAGUUUGGUAUUGGUGUUUGGUUCGGCUUGUGUAGGAUAGGUGGGAGACUGUGAAGCAUGCACGCCAGUGUGUGUGGAGUCAUCGUUGAAAUACCACUCUGGUCGUACUAGAUGUCUAACCUAGGACCGUGACCCGGUUCAGGGACAGUUCCUGAUGGGUAGUUUAACUGGGGCGGUUGCCUCCUAAAAUGUAACGGAGGCGCUCAAAGGUUCCCUCAGCCUGGUUGGCAAUCAGGUAGCGAGUGUAAGUGCACAAGGGAGCUUGACUGUGAGACAGACAUGUCGAACAGGGACGAAAGUCGGAACUAGUGAUCCGGCCACGGCAUGUGGAAGCGUGGUCGCUCAACGGAUAAAAGGUACCCCGGGGAUAACAGGCUGAUCUUCCCCAAGAGUCCAUAUCGACGGGAUGGUUUGGCACCUCGAUGUCGGCUCGUCGCAUCCUGGGGCCGGAGUAGGUCCCAAGGGUUGGGCUGUUCGCCCAUUAAAGCGGCACGCGAGCUGGGUUUAGAACGUCGUGAGACAGUUCGGUCCCUAUCCGCCGCGCCCGCAGGAAACUUGAGAAAACCUGUCCCUAGUACGAGAGGACCGGGAUGGACGAACCUCUGGUGUGCCAGUUGUCCCGCCCGGGGCAUCGCUGGUUAGCCACGUCCGGACGUGAUAACCGCUGAACGCAUCUAAGCGGGAAACACAUUUCAAGAUAAGGUUUCCCACCCAUAUCAUGGGGUAAGGCCCCCACCAGACCAGUGGGUCGAUAGGCCGGAAGUGUACAGCAGUAAUGCCCAGCCGACCGGUACUAAUAGGCCGAGGGCUUACCUC